UACUGCUCAGUAACACGUGGCCCAAACUACCCUACAGACCGCAAUAACCUCGGGAAACUGAGGCCAAUAGCGGAUAUAACUCUCAUGCUGGAGUGCAGAGAGUUAGAAACGUUCCGGCGCUGUAGGAUGUGGCUGCGGCCGAUUAGGUAGAUGGUGGGGUAACGGCCCACCAUGCCGAUAAUCGGUACAGGUUGUGAGAGCAAGAGCCUGGAGACGGUAUCUGAGACAAGAUACCGGGCCCUACGGGGCGCAGCAGGCGCGAAACCUUUACACUGCACGACAGUGCGAUAGGGGGACUCCGAGUGUGAGGGCAUAUAGCCCUCGCUUUUCUGUACCGUAAGGUGGUACAGGAACAAGGACUGGGCAAGACCGGUGCCAGCCGCCGCGGUAAUACCGGCAGUCCGAGUGAUGGCCGAUAUUAUUGGGCCUAAAGCGUCCGUAGCUUGCUGUGUAAGUCCAUUGGGAAAUCGACCAGCUCAACUGGUCGGCGUCCGGUGGAAACUACACAGCUUGGGGCCGAGAGACUCAACGGGUACGUCCGGGGUAGGAGUGAAAUCCUGUAAUCCUGGACGGACCACCAAUGGGGAAACCACGUUGAGAGACCGGACCCGACAGUGAGGGACGAAAGCCAGGGUCUCGAACCGGAUUAGAUACCCGGGUAGUCCUGGCUGUAAACAAUGCUCGCUAGGCAUGUCACGCGCCAUGAGCACGUGAUGUGCCGUAGUGAAGACGAUAAGCGAGCCGCCUGGGAAGUACGUCCGCAAGGAUGAAACUUAAAGGAAUUGGCGGGGGAGCACCACAACCGGAGGAGCCUGCGGUUUAAUUGGACUCAACGCCGGG
rnacentral:rRNA from 1 species